UGCACAGUUCCACCCAGAAGGUCAGGAAAGUGGCUACAUGGCCCUGAUAUUAGAGCCACUACUAGGCGGGCAGCAGAAGUAGGUCAAAGAGAUAGGAUAGUUCGGCGUCGCAAUGCGGUAACUAUGCUCACAUCUUCCAUAAUCAGGCGCAGACCAUAAUGAAACCUUCUUCCCUUCACUUCAAGGGAAAGGGCAGCAUGAUGCAGCACUAGAGUGACAAGAAUAGCUCAAAUGCUAACCGCAAAGUUGACAGAUUUAGCCAUCCUGUUGAGAAAGUGAAGAAGCUCUCACACGAAGCCUGGAAGCACACAGGCAAAUCAUCUUCUUUGAGUCAAUUACAUGAAACACCUGGCCAUGGUGUGAAAUACAGGUAUCUGGUUGGUUGGAGAGGUAAACGGGUCGAUAGAUAUCAAGGGAAUGUUACACUGAAGUGUUAACAAUUUUUAUAUUAUUGAGCAGUCUACGAUGCAAUUCCUUAUUUAUAAGACUGUACCUCUGGUUCUAAUAGAACCUAAUUUCAUGAGUUUAUUCAACAAAAUAUCCUCAAAAUUGGAAUUUGGA
rnacentral:sRNA from 1 species